rnacentral:rRNA from 1 species
AUAGGCCAGAUGUGGAAGCCCUGUAAGGGGUGGAGCUGACUGGUACUAAUAGGCCGAGGGCUUGUCCUCAGUUG